rnacentral:rRNA from 1 species
CCGAAUGGGGAAACCCAGUGUGUUUCGACACACUAUCAUUAACUGAAUCCAUAGGUUAAUGAGGCGAACCGGGGGAACUGAAACAUCUAAGUACCCCGAGGAAAAGAAAUCAACCGAGAUUCCCCCAGUAGCGGCGAGCGAACGGGGAGGAGCCCAGAGCCUGAAUCAGUGUGUGUGUUAGUGGAAGCGUCUGGAAAGGCGCGCGAUACAGGGUGACAGCCCCGUACACAAAAAUGCACAUACUGUGAGCUCGAUGAGUAGGGCGGGACACGUGGUAUCCUGUCUGAAUAUGGGGGGACCAUCCUCCAAGGCUAAAUACUCCUGACUGACCGAUAGUGAACCAGUACCGUGAGGGAAAGGCGAAAAGAACCCCGGCGAGGGGAGUGAAAAAGAACCUGAAACCGUGUACGUACAAGCAGUGGGAGCCUCUUUUAUGGGGUGACUGCGUACCUUUUGUAUAAUGGGUCAGCGACUUAUAUUCUGUAGCAAGGUUAACCGAAUAGGGGAGCCGAAGGGAAACCGAGUCUUAACUGGGCGUUAAGUUGCAGGGUAUAGACCCGAAACCCGGUGAUCUAGCCAUGGGCAGGUUGAAGGUUGGGUAACACUAACUGGAGGACCGAACCGACUAAUGUUGAAAAAUUAGCGGAUGACUUGUGGCUGGGGGUGAAAGGCCAAUCAAACCGGGAGAUAGCUGGUUCUCCCCGAAAGCUAUUUAGGUAGCGCCUCGUGAAUUCAUCUCCGGGGGUAGAGCACUGUUUCGGCAAGGGGGUCAUCCCGACUUACCAACCCGAUGCAAACUGCGAAUACCGGAGAAUGUUAUCACGGGAGACACACGGCGGGUGCUAACGUCCGUCGUGAAGAGGGAAACAACCCAGACCGCCAGCUAAGGUCCCAAAGUCAUGGUUAAGUGGGAAACGAUGUGGGAAGGCCCAGACAGCCAGGAUGUUGGCUUAGAAGCAGCCAUCAUUUAAAGAAAGCGUAAUAGCUCACUGGUCGAGUCGGCCUGCGCGGAAGAUGUAACGGGGCUAAACCAUGCACCGAAGCUGCGGCAGCGACACUAUGUGUUGUUGGGUAGGGGAGCGUUCUGUAAGCCUGUGAAGGUGUGCUGUGAGGCAUGCUGGAGGUAUCAGAAGUGCGAAUGCUGACAUAAGUAACGAUAAAGCGGGUGAAAAGCCCGCUCGCCGGAAGACCAAGGGUUCCUGUCCAACGUUAAUCGGGGCAGGGUGAGUCGACCCCUAAGGCGAGGCCGAAAGGCGUAGUCGAUGGGAAACAGGUUAAUAUUCCUGUACUUGGUGUUACUGCGAAGGGGGGACGGAGAAGGCUAUGUUGGCCGGGCGACGGUUGUCCCGGUUUAAGCGUGUAGGCUGGUUUUCCAGGCAAAUCCGGAAAAUCAAGGCUGAGGCGUGAUGACGAGGCACUACGGUGCUGAAGCAACAAAUGCCCUGCUUCCAGGAAAAGCCUCUAAGCAUCAGGUAACAUUAAAUCGUACCCCAAACCGACACAGGUGGUCAGGUAGAGAAUACCAAGGCGCUUGAGAGAACUCGGGUGAAGGAACUAGGCAAAAUGGUGCCGUAACUUCGGGAGAAGGCACGCUGAUAUGUAGGUGAAGUCCCUCGCGGAUGGAGCUGAAAUCAGUCGAAGAUACCAGCUGGCUGCAACUGUUUAUUAAAAACACAGCACUGUGCAAACACGAAAGUGGACGUAUACGGUGUGACGCCUGCCCGGUGCCGGAAGGUUAAUUGAUGGGGUUAGCGGUAACGCGAAGCUCUUGAUCGAAGCCCCGGUAAACGGCGGCCGUAACUAUAACGGUCCUAAGGUAGCGAAAUUCCUUGUCGGGUAAGUUCCGACCUGCACGAAUGGCGUAAUGAUGGCCAGGCUGUCUCCACCCGAGACUCAGUGAAAUUGAACUCGCUGUGAAGAUGCAGUGUACCCGCGGCAAGACGGAAAGACCCCGUGAACCUUUACUAUAGCUUGACACUGAACAUUGAGCCUUGAUGUGUAGGAUAGGUGGGAGGCUUUGAAGUGUGGACGCCAGUCUGCAUGGAGCCGACCUUGAAAUACCACCCUUUAAUGUUUGAUGUUCUAACGUUGACCCGUGAUCCGGGUUGCGGACAGUGUCUGGUGGGUAGUUUGACUGGGGCGGUCUCCUCCUAAAGAGUAACGGAGGAGCACGAAGGUUGGCUAAUCCUGGUCGGACAUCAGGAGGUUAGUGCAAUGGCAUAAGCCAGCUUGACUGCGAGCGUGACGGCGCGAGCAGGUGCGAAAGCAGGUCAUAGUGAUCCGGUGGUUCUGAAUGGAAGGGCCAUCGCUCAACGGAUAAAAGGUACUCCGGGGAUAACAGGCUGAUACCGCCCAAGAGUUCAUAUCGACGGCGGUGUUUGGCACCUCGAUGUCGGCUCAUCACAUCCUGGGGCUGAAGUAGGUCCCAAGGGUAUGGCUGUUCGCCAUUUAAAGUGGUACGCGAGCUGGGUUUAGAACGUCGUGAGACAGUUCGGUCCCUAUCUGCCGUGGGCGCUGGAGAACUGAGGGGGGCUGCUCCUAGUACGAGAGGACCGGAGUGGACGCAUCACUGGUGUUCGGGUUGUCAUGCCAAUGGCACUGCCCGGUAGCUAAAUGCGGAAGAGAUA